AAAACAGGAUGUUGGUUCCUGUCACUUCCCUGCUGUCUCUUCAGUGGAGGAAACAUGCAGCUUGCACAUAGAUGCUCAUGCUUUAUAGAUUUUCUGUGGAGAAAAAACAAAACACUUUUUCUGAAGUCCCUGGAGAUAACCUUGUCUCUUCUGCCAAGUUUGUAGAUGAGUAUUUCCUGGUGUCUGCAAGAGUGAUUGUCACCUUAGGAUAAAGUAGGGCAAAUCAAGGGAGCUUUUUUUCCUUCAAGUUAAAAAAAUAUUCUCCAUUCAAAUGCACAGAAGAAAUAUGUGAAUGAAAGCAGCAUUUUCAGGUUUGUGCAUAAGGUACAGACAAAGAUCUGCAUGCUCUAGGCAACACAAGCAUUGAUUUCUAGUGUCUCAAUGUGAAUUUCACAUAGUCUCAAAUAAGCUAAUUUCUACAAUUACAUGCAGGGAAAGAGAAGAAUCCACUCUCAUUUGAGCACUGAUGGAGAUCAGGCUCCAGCACCUGAAUAUAACAGAUGCUACUUUCUUGUGGCAUGGUGUGAAAAUCACAGAAGGGAUUAUGAUUAGAUCUGCCCAAGAUUUUGGGCCAUGUAAUAGCCAGCAGGGCAGCAAUGUCAGGUUUACUCAGAUGAUAGCAAAGCUGAAUGAACAGAGAGACUGAAUUAUUUAUUCAGAAUUAAGAGCCAUGUUGGCACCAAGGCUAGCAAUAUGGCUCUGAACAUUUGAGAACAUAAAGCUUAAACAAUCUGGCAAAAGAUUCCUGGCCCUUUCUCUCUGCUGGCCCAUGCUACUCAACUUGUGUUCCCUCUUGGUUCUUUAUCUCUUAUCUGCCUGUUGCUGCUUAUGCUUAAAAUAGAAUUAAAUAAGUCACUGUAUUGCAUGAUUUUUAACCCAAUAUGUUGAUAGCCAAUGCUUUCCACAAAUCAUCUCUUUCCUUGGACAGAGCCUGUCUUGCUAGACACUCUUCAGAGGGCUCAACCUGUUCUGCAUACAUCUUCAUCCCAGAAUUUUGGGGGUAGGAAGCUGCAGUUAUGUGCAUCUUAUUAAUGGGAUUUCUGCACUGAGAAGCAGUUGAGUUUGCCUGAGUUAAAGCUUUUUAUUUGUCUGAUCUUAACUCCCCUGGUCCCAGUACCAGGUGCAACUUUCCUCUGAAAAGGCACAUUUCCAUGGAUCAGAGGGGGAAAAUCCUGCAUAGAUCUCCUUUCCAUGUUUAGCUUGUUUGCCUCUGAAGUGUGACACAAGGAAACCUGUCAGGAAUUAAGUCACAACUGAAAAUGCACAAUGGAAACCUCCUCUUGUAAAUUAGCUUUGACUCCUUCUAUCAGAAAAGAAGGACAGCAGUGUGUGAUUGGUUUUACUACAUCCACUCUUGUCUUCUUGGUAUUUAGGAUAUUGUGAGAAGUACAGAAAGCAAACACUCAGGCAACACAAAGGUCAUGGUGUCAGUUUGGAUAGGUGGGAGGAACUGGAUUGUGUUGGCAGUGCUUUGGUUGUUGUUGGGGAAAACACAACUUUCAGUCUGGAAAGCAAGUUUCUCUGUAGCUAAGUUGGGCUCUUGGUCCUGAAGUAGAAUACUGAAGACAUAAGUGAAGGUUGUUUUCUUCAUGCUUUUGUUAAAUAAGCAAUAAAUACCACCUUAUCCAUUUCACUAUGUGACCAGUCCUAUUUCCACACACUUCUGAUUUGACCUGUGUUAACAGAACACAAGCUUCCAGACAAGGGAGCACAGAGUGUCUGUCUUGCUGAAUUCCUUCUUUAGCCUGUGAAACAGCAUAUGUUUGUUUUGGCUGGCUGUGUGUGGUAUUUUUUGCUCACUGGAAAAGCUGACAAUGUUUCAGCCUCUGUACUGUUUUUUCUUGGUUUUUCUUAAACUUUUCACCUUCCUCUUUCUUUCCUAGACUAGCAGAAAUCACCUAAAAAUCAUCAGGAAAAGGUGGUAUAUUCAUGGAGGGGGAUGGGAGGCUGGGGUGUCCAUUGCUUUUUCCAGAGUUUACCUGUAGAAUUAGUCCCAUCAGCCUGUGUAAAUUGGCUCGAUUUUUAAUGUUCUUUGGUUUUCUCAGUUCCUGUGUUUUGCACAGCAUAACCCAAGUGUUUCCUGCACUAGACUCCCUUUUCAGCUGAAUUUAACUUAAAUAUGGAGUAGAUAUUCUGUUCCAAACAGAAAUCAAGUGUGAUCAGGUAAGCAAUUUAUUGCCUCUAUAUUUUGUUAAACCUUAGUUGCAAGCAAGAAUAGAUUGGUCUUAUCGACCUAAAACAAUCUCCCGUCCCAUGUCAGCAAUGGUGUGGUUAACACGAGUAGAGUAUAAAAAAGCUAAAUACACAAGUUAAGAUCUGUAAUUCAUUCCUUCCUUGAGAAGUACCCUUCCCAUUGGGAAUUAAGUCCUCCAUAAGAAGUGUGGCAGUAUCUGACUUAUUAAGGAAUAUAAUAGAGCUGAUUGAAGAAUGACCUCUAAUCUGAAGUUGUGAACUGAUCUAAAGCACUGAGUUCCUGCUUGAGUAACUGAAUGAACUGGCUGGACUUGGAAAUGAGACAAAGUGCUGAAUAUAUAAUUUUAUAUAUAUAAGUAAACAAAGCCAAAACCUGGAGGUGUGAAAGCAGCACUGGGGAAUUACUUAAACAUCAAAGCAGGAUUUUUUUGAAUGUUUAACUGUUCAAAACCUGGGCCCACAUAUUUUGGUUUUAGCAUGGGAAAAAAGCCCUGGUAAAUUAUUUCAUAGUCUGCCUUUGAUCAAAGUUAUGAAAUUAUGUCAAAAUCAAUCAUAAGAAAACCUGGGAUUGGGGAUGUAAUGUUUAUUUUUAAAUAAAAAGGUAUCCUUUUGACCUGCAGAAGGUUUAUUCCUUUUAGCAUAAUACUUGAAGUUUUAUUGUCCUGUUAUUCCAAGAAUGAGCAAGUGUUGAAGGCAGUGUAAAGGAUGUAACAACACAGCCCACAAGAGGCCAGUAUGCAUUUAAAUUUUGAACUAUUCAGAGCCAUAUUUGUCCAGUGUCAAGGGACCCAGGCAUCUUCUUUGGAAUGCAACAAGCUACAUAACUUCAUGUGAGCUGAGGCACACCGAAGGGUCAGUAAUGGUCAUGAAUGCUCCUGUGGUAGAAAUGACCAGGACCUUAUCAGCUGGGAUAAAAAGGUAACUUUUAUAUAAACCUAUAUUCUCAAGGAUGUCAUAGCACUUUGUGUUCUGUGGCUGUGGUCAAACAGAGUAGAAAUUGGCUACGAGUCUAACACCUUUAGACUCGCAUCUGCUUUGCUUUUCCUUCCCUUGCAAAGAAAGCAGCUUUAUGAAGUAUCAAUCCAAAUUGGAACUAAUUUUCGGGUUCAAAAAAUCUGUGGCCAAGGAUGAAAAUUUUGAUCAGGCAAAAGAAAAUCUAAGUAAAGGGAAUUCCAUUUUUGAGGUGAAAGGAGGAACUGUAAAGGUGAUUGCCUGACUUUUAAGCCAUGUCAGCGUAGCUUUUGUAGGAUUUGAAAAUCCAAAUCUGAAGGCAUGCAGAGCAGUGGAGCAGUGACCCAAGUAGCAUCCUAUAUCCCUUCUCAUUUUAGCACUGGGUGCUGCUGCUGUGGAUUUGCCCCACAAUGGCUGAGAGGCAAAUCCACAGCAUUCUGGAAUUACAGGGUUACAUCUUGUCUCCUCCUAACCAGCCCAAAUCAAUGUUGUCACUAACACCCAUGGCCAUUGGUACACAGGAGUGAAGGGGUGAGAACAGGACUGAGAGAGAGGGGGACAAAGGGGGUGGGAACACCUUUGGGCAAACCAGGCAUAAGGAAACAGAGCAUUUGUGUAUUAUACAGGCAACCUGGAGGCAAAAGCCAGCUCAGCAUGGACAUUGGAGAUAUAUAUAUAUGUAUUCUGUUAAGGAAAAGGAUCUCCUUGGGAGGAUGCCCAAAACAGAGCACUUUUGGCAUAUCUGUAAUUGCUGCUGGCAACAAAGAAAAUUCUCAAGGUCAUAUGGUAUUAACAUUGUCCUUCCUGUGGGCUGUAUUUUCUAGGUUGCUGUGCAUAAUCCUGGCUUUAUCAUUUGUGCCCCCAAAUCUUGAAAAGGCUUUUGGGCUGAUUUCCUUCUGCCCCAAGAUCUUCCUGCAGCACAAACUACUCUGUCAGGGGCUGCAAUUACUGCAUCUAUCUUGUCACAGAACACUUUUUAAAACUAGAGAGCUGCAGUUUCUAGAUGACUAAUACUCAUCCCUCAAGGACUACAAUCAAAUAUUCCAGUUUCUCCAAACUGCCCUUCACACAUAGACCAAUCUUGGAUUAUCUUGGCUUAAAGCAGCCUUCUUACUGUCUUGUUACUGCAGUGAGGACAAUGACAGUUCCCAGCCACAUCCACUGGGAGCAGGUAGUGCACAGGCCCUUGUGGAAUUUACAAAUCCCUCUUUAUGUGAUAUACUUAGGAGAGCUAGGUAGUUCCUUGAUUAGAAAGAAGUUCACUGAAAUAGUAUAAAUGAAUAAAAUGGAGUAACUGAAGCUGGUAGUCAAGUUUAUCUUGAUUUUCCUGGUGCAAAGCAGAGACAUUUUGCUGUUAACUACAGAAAUAAUCCACCUUCAGAGUAGUGUUCUCAUGGAGCUUUAGAAAUUGGUAUUCAGGGACAGCUCCUUGCUGAUCAGUUUUUGGGGGAAAAAAACAGUUUAAGUAAAACUUAAUGACUAGUUAAUAUUAAAAUAAACAAAAUGGCUUCAUUCUGAUAGAAAAAUGUAGCUCUUUGAAGCUUUCUGCAAUUAAGCAGUUUAAAGCAGAAGGAUUUACCCUAACUAACGGACAUUUACCUAGACAACGGGCAUGAGCAGCACUGAAGAGUUUAAUGCAACCUGUGCAGAACAGAGUAAGUUCUAAUGGGCUUUUUGACACAUCCAGCUGUGAAGCCUUCUUGAAUGACAUCUGACAUCAGAGCACCUUACAGCACUCCUGCACAGCAAGGCAGCCCCAUUUUCUCAUUGUCUAGAUGACAAGAUAUAUACAGAGAGAGCAAAUCACUUGCCCAGGAUCCUGCAGAAAUUCAGGAAAGAAACGAGGAGCUGAUCAGCAGCCUCCUCUUCCUGCUGCACAAACCUUUCUCUCUCAGGAGUUUUAGGUGAUGAGCACUUCUCUGUGUAGCUUUAUGGUUUUGGGACUUCUCGUUUUAUCUACUCUUUCACAUUCCUGGUAAAUAAAUCCUGCAAACAAUGCCUUGCUGUUUACUUAAUUAACAUACUUUUUCUCCUACCAAAGAAGUGUUUUCCAGGUAGUCUUCUGCCAUGUUGGAGCCUUGUAGCAUGCUGAUGUAUUCCUUUGAGAUCCUUGCUGGAGAAACCCUUCCUGAAUUUGUGGGAAAACUUUAUCCACUGGAAAAAAACAAGGAUGUGCUCCCUAACUCCUGACAGAACAGGAACCACUAAAAGUGAACAGCUGACAGCAGUGCUUGGAAUCCCCCGGGGUUCCACUUCAGUUUGUCAGCAAUCUCAAGAACACCCACGUGAAGGGGAAGAGAAAAGCCUGCCUGGAGUGUGCACUAACUCCUGAAAAGUGUCACCCUGAAGGGGAUGAAGAAUGGAUGAGUGAUAGAGAGGUCUCCUGAGUACACCAGGAGGCAAGAAGGGAAGAGAGCAGAGUUUACCAUUUAAUGCUGCUGAGCUGAGUGACUGGGGAGGGUUGCACAGUGAUCACAGGAUGCACAAGGCAGUGACCCUCAUGGGCAGUACAGCAGUGCCAGUGCAGCUGUGGGAGUGACCCAUGGGACUUGGACUUGACUGCAGUCUGCUGAGGACCAGCAGCACAACAGGAGGCUGGCAGAUGGCGCCAGAUGGGCAUUCAGUGUGGCAAAAAGCCUCUUCCUCCAGCUGGAGCAAGGCAGCACGGAUAAGACCGCAAGCAGGACAAACAGGAGUACAGAUUCUCUAAUUAUUGAAGAAUCUGUCCUCGAGCUUUUUGCAACACACAGUGUCACUGUGAAGAACCAAAUGCACUGCAAGCAUCGAGGUCCCUUCCAAGGCAAAGCCAAGGCCCAAAGUCACAUCAAGGACAGCAUGGAGGAGACAGAGGAAGAAAACAUGGUGUUGGAGAAAUACAGUGACUGCAUUACAACCAAAACCAUGGUUUGGCAUCUUGAAAUGGGACAAGCUCUGUGUUCAUAUCUGCACACUGUGGACUCUCCUGCUUUCACAGAGACUUCAGAACUGCUGAAGGUGGUGGAUUUUUCAACUCCAGUCCUGGUUUAGCCUGGAAGGGAACCAGACUGUGGAGAUGUUCUGUAAGGAUACAAAUUAGAGACAUGAGUUGAGGACACCAAAAAAUAGGCAAAAUGCACCAAGAUGUCUAUCUCUAGUACCACUUACAGACAAAUAAUACUUCUGAACCCAAGCCAUGAGUGAAGCUGGUAUGGGAGAAGCAGAGUUAUUAGAGGAAGGAAUUCUAGCAAUGUCACCUUCAGAUCUACAUGAACUCAGGCUCCACAGAACCUUGCAGAAUGAGUCCCACUGUAAGAAGGUACCUCUCCGUUUAAAUUGCACGAGUUGGUCUGUAUCACACCAGCUGUUUUCCCUCAGCUUUCAAGAUGAUCAAACUAAUGAGCUGUAGCAUGAGGUUAUGUGGAAUCUCCCAGGCCAUGCCAUCUGUGUGCACUUUGCUGGGGACAAAACUGCCAUUGCCUUUGUAGACUGAAGAAAUAUCCAGCACUGGUGUCUUUGAAGCAUUUUUCUAUCGGGCUGAUUCUGUACAAGUAGCUCCUGUAGCCACAGAUACCCCUGUUGCGCUCAAAGUUCGGGUUUGUUUCAUUGCUGCCCAAGGCAGGAAGCAGAACUUUAUAGUUGCAUUUGUCUUGGACAGUGCUCCCCACCACCACCAGUGGUGUAGCAAAAAGAGGGAGGACAAGAACCAUUCCCAGUCCAGAUCCACAGCACCAAGUGAUUUGUUUCUGACCUGAUCUGCAUUAUCCUCAAGGAGAGUUGCAGAGAUGUCCUUUACAACAUUAACAUGCAAGCUGCAGGCACAGAGAAGGUCUACAGCAAUAAAUACCCUGUCACAGGCCUGCUCCCAGGGAGGAAAUACUACUUCUGAGUCAUUGUCUGCAAUGACAGUGGGGACACUGACCCUCUGGAUUCACAGGAACAAUGGAACAUCUCCAAACACAGAGAGAUUCUGGCAUGCCACCUUCUCAACUCCAGCCAGCCCAGAUGCUGUGACACAUCCCAGGAAACCUAACCUGACCCAAUUACCUCUCUAACCUCAAGAGAAGCUCAAAAGAAAGACUCAUGCAUGAUGCGAUUCCUCAAACCAUGAUGGAUUUUAGUCAAGGGAUGAGUGCUUCCCAGCACCCAGGGCUUAAGCUGUACAUGAAUAAACAAAAUAUGUGGCCCAGCAACUCAUUAGUAAAUAAAGAGGGUAACAGCUGGGCACUGUGGCAUCCCUUUAGGACUGACACCGU